rnacentral:rRNA from 1 species
GCGAGCUUAACCGAAUAGGGGAGGCGUAGGGAAACCGAGUCUUAAUAGGGCGAACAGUUGCUGGGUGUAGACCCGAAACCGAGUGAUCUAUCCAUGGCCAGGUUGAAGGUGCCGUAACAGGUACUGGAGGACCGAACCCACGCAUGUUGCAAAAUGCGGGGAUGAGCUGUGGAUAGGGGUGAAAGGCUAAACAAACUCGGAGAUAGCUGGUUCUCCCCGAAAACUAUUUAGGUAGUGCCUCGAGCAAGACACUGAUGGGGGUAAAGCACUGUUAUGGCUAGGGGGUUAUUGCAACUUACCAACCCAUGGCAAACUAAGAAUACCAUCAAGUGGUUCCUCGGGAGACAGACAGCGGGUGCUAACGUCCGUUGUCAAGAGGGAAACAACCCAGACCGCCAGCUAAGGUCCCAAAUGAUAGAUUAAGUGGUAAACGAAGUGGGAAGGCCCAGACAGCCAGGAUGUUGGCUUAGAAGCAGCCAUCAUUUAAAGAAAGCGUAAUAGCUCACUGGUCGAGUCGUCCUGCGCGGAAGAUGUAACGGGGCUCAAAUCUAUAACCGAAGCUGCGGAUGCCAGUUUACUGGCAUGGUAGGGGAGCGUUCUGUAGGCCGAUGAAGGUGCAUUGUAAAGUGUGCUGGAGGUAUCAGAAGUGCGAAUGUUGACAUGAGUAGCGAUAAAGCGGGUGAAAAGCCCGCUCGCCGAAAGCCCAAGGUUUCCUACGCAACGUUCAUCGGCGUAGGGUGAGUCGGCCCCUAAGGCGAGGCAGAAAUGCGUAGUCGAUGGGAAACAGGUUAAUAUUCCUGUACUUGAUUCAAAUGCGAUGUGGGGACGGAGAAGGUUAGGUUAGCAAGCUGUUGGAAUAGCUUGUUUAAGCCGGUAGGUGGAAGACUUAGGCAAAUCCGGGUCUUCUUAACACCGAGAAGUGACGACGAGUGUCUACGGACAUGAAGUAACCGAUACCACGCUUCCAGGAAAAGCCACUAAGCUUCAGUUUGAAUCGAACCGUACCGCAAACCGACACAGGUGGGCAGGAUGAGAAUUCUAAGGCGCUUGAGAGAACUCGGGAGAAGGAACUCGGCAAAUUGAUACCGUAACUUCGGGAGAAGGUAUGCCCUCUAAGGUUAAGGACUUGCUCCGUAAGCCCUGGAGGGUCGCAGAGAAUAGGUGGCUGCGACUGUUUAUUAAAAACACAGCACUCUGCCAACACGAAAGUGGACGUAUAGGGUGUGACGCCUGCCCGGUGCUGGAAGGUUAAUUGAAGAUGUGAGAGCAUCGGAUCGAAGCCCCAGUAAACGGCGGCCGUAACUAUAACGGUCCUAAGGUAGCGAAAUUCCUUGUCGGGUAAGUUCCGACCCGCACGAAUGGCGUAACGAUGGCCACACUGUCUCCUCCCGAGACUCAGCGAAGUUGAAGUGGUUGUGAAGAUGCAAUCUACCCGCUGCUAGACGGAAAGACCCCGUGAACCUUUACUGUAGCUUUGCAUUGGACUUUGAAGUCACUUGUGUAGGAUAGGUGGGAGGCUUUGAAGCAGAGACGCCAGUCUCUGUGGAGCCGUCCUUGAAAUACCACCCUGGUGUCUUUGAGGUUCUAACCCAGACCCGUUAUCCGGGUCGGGGACCGUGCAUGGUAGGCAGUUUGACUGGGGCGGUCUCCUCCCAAAGAGUAACGGAGGAGUUCGAAGGUUACCUAGGUCCGGUCGGAAAUCGGACUGAUAGUGCAAUGGCAAAAGGUAGCUUAACUGCGAGACCGACAAGUCGAGCAGGUGCGAAAGCAGGACAUAGUGAUCCGGUGGUUCUGUAUGGAAGGGCCAUCGCUCAACGGAUAAAAGGUACUCCGGGGAUAACAGGCUGAUACCGCCCAAGAGUUCAUAUCGACGGCGGUGUUUGGCACCUCGAUGUCGGCUCAUCACAUCCUGGGGCUGUAGUCGGUCCCAAGGGUAUGGCUGUUCGCCAUUUAAAGUGGUACGUGAGCUGGGUUUAAAACGUCGUGAGACAGUUUGGUCCCUAUCUGCAGUGGGCGUUGGAAGUUUGACGGGGGCUGCUCCUAGUACGAGAGGACCGGAGUGGACGAACCUCUGGUGUACCGGUUGUAACGCCAGUUGCAUAGCCGGGUAGCUAAGUUCGGAAGAGAUAAGCGCUGAAAGCAUCUAAGCGCGAAACUCGCCUGAAGAUGAGACUUCCCUUGCGGUUUAACCGCACUAAAGAGUCGUUCGAGACCAGGACGUUGAUAGGUGGGGUGUGGAAGCGCGGUAACGCGUGAAGCUAACCCAUACUAAUUGCUCGUGAGGCUUGACU